rnacentral:lncRNA from 10 species
GUGGCUUGGAGUGUUUUCCAGGACUUCAGGCUUUUUCCUUUCUUCCUUCCCCAUUAAACCCCUCUGCUCUUCUUGGCAAAGGCCUUCAGGUGAGAGAUGAUGUUCUAUCCAGCCAGUCAACAAUUCUCAAGCGGAGUGGCUCUAGAAACUCAGCUCUUGAAAACAUCACGGAGCUUUAUCAGUGAUAAGGCCAAGAGGUUGCAACUACUGUUAUCUUUGGACACACAAAAGAAUCACCUGGUCCAGACUUUGUCUCACCACUGGGCUCUUUCAACUGAUCCCAUUUGAAAGUCUUCAACUCAAUCAGGCUUUGAGAAGCAAAGGACAGUCUGGCAUGGUGGCUCACGUCUGUAAUCC